AUUGAACGCUGGCGGCAUGCCUUACACAUGCAAGUCGAACGGUAACGGGCCUUCGGGUGCCGACGAGUGGCGAACGGGUGAGUAAUGCAUCGGAACGUACCCAUCAGUGGGGGAUAACUCUCCGAAAGGAGGGCUAAUACCGCAUAUUCUGUGCGCAGGAAAGCGGGGGACCGCAAGGCCUCGCGCUGAUGGAGCGGCCGAUGUCAGACUAGCUAGUUGGUGGGGUAAAGGCCUACCAAGGCGACGAUCUGUAGCGGGUCUGAGAGGAUGAUCCGCCACACUGGGACUGAGACACGGCCCAGACUCCUACAGGAGGCAGCAGUGGGGAAUUUUGGACAAUGGGGGCAACCCUGAUCCAGCCAUGCCGCGUGAGUGAAGAAGGCCUUCGGGUUGUAAAGCUCUUUCGGCCGGGAAGAAAUCGCAUCUCCUAAUACGGGGUGUGGAUGACGGUACCGGAAUAAGAAGCACCGGCUAACUACGUGCCAGCCGCCGCCGUAA
rnacentral:rRNA from 1 species